ensembl:snRNA LOC120096834 U6atac minor spliceosomal RNA
CUGUCAUACAAAAGGAGGUUAGCGCUCCCUUGACAAGAAUGGAGGAGUCCGGGCCUCAAACACGCAUGUAAUUGAGGCACCGGCACCUGGGUUGUGCAUCAAACCACUGCCUUUA